rnacentral:rRNA from 1 species
AUGGCGGAGGAACCGUCCGCCAAGCGUCAUCAUGCCGAGACGUCGGACAAGAGGAGCAACCUCGUCGACAUUAAAGUCCCCGGCGAGAAGCGCAACUACACCAGAACGCUCGAAGGGGUUGAGCUCCAUGACAAGGAGACACUGGAGAUCGUCUUCACCAGCGAACCAGACAAGACCGACGAGGUGAUCUCCAGGAUGUGGAUGAAGCUUGGUGGUAGGUUUCGUAGGAUCGUCGGCGUUGGUGUGCACUACACCAACGAAGAUGAACCUCCCCGGAUGGCGGCAGUCCUGCAGUUGUGCGUCGACGAACUCUGCUUGGUCUACCACAUCGCCGCGGCCACAAAAUGGUGA